UACGUAGGGCGCAAGCGUUGUCCGGAAUUAUUGGGCGUAAAGAGCUCGUAGGCGGUUUGUCGCGUCUGUCGUGAAAGCUUGGGGCUUAACCCCAAGUCUGCGGUGGAUACGGGCGGACUAGAGUUCGGUAGGGGAGACUGGAAUUCCUGGUGUAGCGGUGAAAUGCGCAGAUAUCAGGAGGAACACCGGUGGCGAAGGCGGGUCUCUGGGCCGAUACUGACGCUGAGGAGCGAAAGCGUGGGGAGCGAACAGG
rnacentral:rRNA from 1 species